CCAAUAGCGUAUAUUAAAGUUGUUGCAGUUAAAAAGCUCGUAGUUGAAUUUCGGAAUUUGUCGGUUGGUCGGGCUUCACUGUCCGCACUGACCUGAUGAGUUCCUACCUUCUGAAUAACCUUCAUGCUAUUAAGUUAGUGCGUUGGGGAAGCAGAGCUAUUACCUUGAAAAAAUUAGAGUGCUUAAAGCAAGCUUGUGCUUGAAUCGAUUAUCAUGGAAUAAUAAAAUAGGACGGAAUGGUUCUAUUUUGUUGGUUUCUAGGAUCACCGUAAUGAUUAAUAGGGAUAGUUGGGGGCAUUAGUAUUCAAUUGUCAGAGGUGAAAUUCUUGGAUUUAUUGAAGACUAACUUCUGCGAAAGCAUUUGCCAAGGAUGUUUUCAUUAAUCAAGAACGAAAGUUAGGGGAUCGAAGACGAUCAGAUACCGUCGUAGUCUUAACCAUAAACUAUGCCGACUAGGGAUCGGACGAUGUUAAUUUUUUAAUGACUCGUUCGGCGCCUUACG
rnacentral:rRNA from 1 species